rnacentral:tRNA from 1 species
UGGCGGAUCGUCUAAUGGCAGGACGUCGGAUUCUGGCUCCGACUAUCUAGGUUCGAAUCCUAGUCCGCCAGCCA